rnacentral:rRNA from 1 species
CAAUAGCGUAUAUUAAAGUUGUUGCGGUUAAAAAGCUCGUAGUUGGAUUUCUGCCGAGGACGACCGGUCCGCCCUCUGGGUGUGUAUCUGGUUUGGCCUGGGCAUCUUCUUGGAGAACGUAGCUGCACUUGACUGUGUGGUGCGGUGUCCAGGACUUUUACUUUGAGGAAAUUAGAGUGUUUCAAGCAGGCACACGCCUUGAAUACAUUAGCAUGGAAUAAUAAGAUAGGACCUCGGUUCUAUUUUGUUGGUUUCUAGAGCUGAGGUAAUGAUUAAUAGGGAUAGUUGGGGGCACCUGUAUUGCGUUGUCAGAGGUGAAAUUCUUGGAUUUACGCAAGACAAACAGCUGCGAAAGCGUCUGCCAAGGAUGUUUUCAUUAA